rnacentral:rRNA from 1 species
CCUACGGGGUGCAGCAGUGGGGAAUAUUGCACAAUGGGCGCAAGCCUGAUGCAGCCAUGCCGCGUGUAUGAAGAAGGCCUUAGGGUUGUAAACUACUUUCAGUUGGGAGGAAGGCGUUGAUGCUAAUAUCAUCAACGAUUGACGUUACCAACAGAAGAAGCACCGGCUAACUCCGUGCUAGCAGCCGCGGUAAUACGGAGGGUGCAAGCGUUAAUCGGAAUUACUGGGCGUAAAGCGCACGCAGGCGGUCUGUCAAGUCGGAUGUGAAAUCCCCGGGCUCAACCUGGGAACUGCAUUCGAAACUGGCAGGCUAGAGUCUUGUAGAGGGGGGUAGAAUUCCAGGUGUAGCGGUGAAAUGCGUAGAGAUCUGGAGGAAUACCGGUGGCGAAGGCGGCCCCCUGGACAAAGACCGACGCUCAGGUGCGAAAGCGUGGGGAGCAAACAGGAUUAGAUACCCGGGUAGUC